GAUGAACGCUGGCGGCGUGCCUAAUACAUGCAAGUCGAGCGAACAGACGAGGAGCUUGCUCCUCUGACGUUAGCGGCGGACGGGUGAGAAACAUGUGGAUAACCCACCUAUCAGACGGGGAUAACCUCGGGAAACCGGAGCUAACACCGGAUAAUAUAUUGAACCGCAUGGGUCAAUGGUGAAAGACGGGUUUGCUGUCACUUAUAGAGGGAUCCGCGCCGCAUUAGCUAGUUGGUAAGGUAACGGCCUACCAAGGCAACGAUGCGUAGCCGACGUGAGAGGGUGAUCGGCCGCCCGGGAGCGUGAACAGGGACCAGGCUCCUACGGGAGGCAGCAGUAGGGAAUCGGACGCAGUGGUCGGGAGCCUGACGCAGCGGGGCCGCGCGUGUGACGAAGAUCUUCGGAUCGGGAAGCUCUCUUAUUAGGGGAGAACAGAUGUGGAAGUAGCUAUACCCGGCUUGACGGUAACUAGUCAGGAAGCCACGGCUAACUACGUG
rnacentral:rRNA from 1 species